UACAGAGGUCCCAAGCGUUGUUCGGAUUCAUUGGGCGUAAAGGGUGCGUAGCGGUGCCGUAAGUCGGGUGUGAAAUCUCGGAGCUUAACUCCGAAACUGCAUUCGAUACUGCCGUGCUUGAGGACUGGAGAGGAGACUGGAAUUUACGGUGUAGCGGUGAAAUGCGUAGAUAUCGUAAGGAAGACCAGUGGCGAAGGCGGGUCUCUGGACAGUUCCUGACGCUGAGGCACGAAGGUCAGGGGAGCAAACGGG
rnacentral:rRNA from 1 species